rnacentral:rRNA from 1 species
ACGCUGGCGGCAGGCCUAACACAUGCAAGUCGAGCGGUAGAGAGAAGCUUGCUUCUCUUGAGAGCGGCGGACGGGUGAGUAAUGCCUAGGAAUCUGCCUGGUAGUGGGGGAUAACGUUCGGAAACGGACGCUAAUACCGCAUACGUCCUACGGGAGAAAGCAGGGGACCUUCGGGCCUUGCGCUAUCAGAUGAGCCUAGGUCGGAUUAGCUAGUUGGUGAGGUAAUGGCUCACCAAGGCGACGAUCCGUAACUGGUCUGAGAGGAUGAUCAGUCACACUGGAACUGAGACACGGUCCAGACUCCUACGGGAGGCAGCAGUGGGGAAUAUUGGACAAUGGGCGAAAGCCUGAUCCAGCCAUGCCGCGUGUGUGAAGAAGGUCUUCGGAUUGUAAAGCACUUUAAGUUGGGAGGAAGGGCAGUUACCUAAUACGUGAUUGUUUUGACGUUACCGACAGAAUAAGCACCGGCUAACUCUGUGCCAGCAGCCGCGGUAACACAGAGGGUGCAAGCGUUAAUCGGAAUUACUGGGCGUAAAGCGCGCGUAGGUGGUUUGUUAAGUUGGAUGUGAAAUCCCCGGGCUCAACCUGGGAACUGCAUUCAAAACUGACUGACUAGAGUAUGGUAGAGGGUGGUGGAAUUUCCUGUGUAGCGGUGAAAUGCGCAGAUAUAGGAAGGAACACCAGUGGCGAAGGCGACCACCUGGACUAAUACUGACACUGAGGCGCGAAAGCGUGGGGAGCAAAC